GACACGGGGACCCUGACACGUACACUGCUGCUACGGUUCAAUAAAAGCAGUUCGUACCGAAGAAACCCCGUGUGUUAUUGCCUCCAAUCAUGACACUGACCAUCAGAUUUUCUUUCAAAUGCCAUUUAGCUCGUCCAUGUGGGCAGCUGUAAGUUUCAGUCAAACCUGGAGAUGUAAAACUGGUUUCACUGUGGACAGAGAUGCUGGUGUUCUAGCAGUUUCCAGUUUGUGGAGGUGUCAUGGCCCAGGAUCUUGGAUUAAGUUUUAUUUUGAUAGUCUGUGUGUAAUCAUCUGAUGACAUCACUCGGCUGGUCUGGGACCACCCCGGUGUUCCCCCAGAUGAGCUGGAGGACCUGGCUUGGGAGAGGCUGCCUCCCCAUGACCUGGUUCCAGGUUCUUCUGACUGUGCAACCUGUGACUGCAGCUUGAAUCCAAAGAUGAAAACAUCUGGAACUGAAAACUUGAGUACAUUUGGUCUGGUCUCAGCCAGAGACGACUUCAGAGCAAACACUGCUCGAGUUGCUUCCGCCUGCUUUUCAGGCAGCAUUUAUCCUAAAAACCACCUCCAUCGCCUCCACUCCUGCAGCUUUCAGUUUCCACAUACCCAUCAGACGCUUGAGUUGUCUCAGCUGGGUUUGGGCGGGGGAUCAUGUGACCAUCGACUCUGGAAACCUGACAUCAUUUUCCUGCCAACAUUGAAGCUGUGCAUUUAUUAUUAUUUAUGUAUCAGCUCUUUCCCUUGGUGUCAAUAAUCUGCCGACCAUAGAUGCCUCAGCUUCCCUCAAUGACUUGAUAUCUCACUAUAACAACAGACUCAUCAUCCUCUUAGGCACCUUGGGUCCUCAGAAAACUCGAGCCAGUUCCUUCUCUUGCUCUGGCCCCUGGUAUUCAGCUGAACUUCACCAACUCAAAGCUAUUGGACGCUGUCUUCAGGAAAACUGGACUUCCCUUUCAUAAGGAAAUGUAUCUCAGUCAUAUCUAACUUAUUCUAUUCUAUUCUAAAUGUGCCUGUCUCUGAAACACUUUGGCUCAGCUUCAGGAGGCUGUAAAUAAAACAGAUGUGACAGUCACCA